GUUUUAAAGCCAGAUAUCCCGUGAACCUAUCCUGAAUUUCAAGAAUUAACAAUAACUGAAUUUUUACAAUAACUGAAUUUUAUCAGUGAAUGGUUACGAAUGCUCGCAAAUAGAAGAAAGAAGACAUCAUGCUCCAUAUUGCCAAUUUGCAGGCCCUAGUGCAUGAGAAUAUAGUUACAGAAAUACCGCACUAAAUGGCUAAUUAAUCACAGGUUAACAAAUUCAGAGAUUCUCCCCUAAAUGUUUCUUUGCAAAAAAUUACAUACCAGGCAGAAAAUGUUUCCGAGCUAGUUAUGCAUUUA